UACGAAGGGGGCUAGCGUUGUUCGGAAUUACUGGGCGUAAAGGGUGCGUAGGCGGGUCUUUAAGUCAGGGGUGAAAUCCUGGAGCUCAACUCCAGAACUGCCUUUGAUACUGUGGAUCUUGAGUUCGGGAGAGGUGAGUGGAACUGCGAGUGUAGAGGUGAAAUUCGUAGAUAUUCGCAAGAACACCAGUGGCGAAGGCGGCUCACUGGCCCGAUACUGACGCUGAGGCACGAAAGCGUGGGGAGCAAACAGG
rnacentral:rRNA from 1 species